GACGAACGCUGGCGGCGUGCCUAAUACAUGCAAGUCGAGCGGAAUGAUGAAGAAGCUUGCUCCCUGAAGUUAGCGGCGGACGGGUGAGUAACACGUGGGCAACCUGCCUGUAAGACUGGGAUAACUUCGGGAAACCGGAGCUAAUCCCGGAUACAUUCUUUCUUCGCCUGAAGAAAGAUGGAAAGAUGGUUUCGGCUAUCACUUACAGAUGGGCCCGCGGCGCAUUAGCUAGUUGGUGAGGUAACGGCUCACCAAGGCAACGAUGCGUAGCCGACCUGAGAGGGUGAUCGGCCACACUGGGACUGAGACACGGCCCAGACUCCUACGGGAGGCAGCAGUAGGGAAUCUUCCGCAAUGGACGAAAGUCUGACGGAGCAACGCCGCGUGAGCGAAGAAGGCCUUCGGGUCGUAAAGCUCUGUUGUUAGGGAAGAACAAGUACCAGAGUAACUGCUGGUACCUUGACGGUACCUAACCAGAAAGCCACGGCUAACUACGUGCCAGCAGCCGCCGUAAGAC
rnacentral:rRNA from 1 species